rnacentral:rRNA from 1 species
UACGAAGGGGGCUAGCGUUGCUCGGAAUCACUGGGCGUAAAGGGUGCGUAGGCGGGUUUUUAAGUCAGGGGUGAAAUCCUGGAGCUCAACUCCAGAACUGCCUUUGAUACUGAAGAUCUCGAGUCCGGGAGAGGUGAGUGGAACUGCGAGUGUAGAGCUGAAAUUCGUAGAUAUUCGCAAGAACACCAGUGGCGAAGGCGGCUCACUGGCCCGGUACUGACGCUGAGGCGCGAAAGCGUGGGGAGCAAACAGG